AUUGAACGCUGGCGGCAGGCCUAACACAUGCAAGUCGAACGAAUGGCGGCCGGGUGAGUAAUGUCUGGGAAAAUGCCUGAUGGAGGGGGAUAACUACUGGAAACGGUAGCUAAUACCGCAUACAAUAAGCAGUGACCAGAUGGGAUUAGCUAGUGGGUGGGGUAACGGCUAACCAAGGCGACGAUCCCUAGCUGGUCUGAGAGGAUGACCAGCCAAACUGGAACGGAGACACGGCCCAGACUCCUACGGGAGGCAGCAGUGGGGAAUAUUGCACAAUGGGCGCAAGCCUGAUGCAGCCAUGCCGCGUGUAUGAAGAAGGCCUUCGGGUUGUAAAGUACUUGCAGCGGGGAGGCGUUACCCGCAGAAGAAGCACCGGCUAACUCCGUGCCAGCAGCCGCGGUAAUAC
rnacentral:rRNA from 1 species